GCAGCGGCUCCACCCCUGCCUUUUCAUUGGCCGCGACUGCAGUGGGGCAAGCCAAACAUCCACAGCAUCCCCUCACACCUCCAAGCAGUUCUCUACUCAGUCGGCCAUAAGAGAAUUAAAUAUAUAUAUAUUCUCUGUGUAAAGUGCCCUGAGCCACUUUUGGAAGGGCGGUAUGGAAAUCUAAUUAAAAUCAAAUACUACUACUACUAAAAAUAAUAAUAAUUAAAAAAAAUCUUCUCCCGCCCCCUCACGCUGCUGCGGCUGUGAGCGCCAUCAGCCCAAUCAGAGGCUCUCCCGCGCUCGCAGGGAGCCCCGCUCCUCCCUCACAGGCCCGAGCAGCAGCCAGCCAGCCCCCUGCUUAUUGCCUUAACAGUUUCCCCGAGCCAAGGAGGCGCUGGUCGAGGCACAGAACGGCUCUGUUUAGUAUUGCUAAGAGUUGCGAGGACACCUCACGAAGAGCAGUCUUCUUGAAGCUGAUGGAGGAAUGGAUGCCCAGUCGUUUGGUGGCCUGAAGAUAAAUGCAAGCAGCUCCUCUCUACACCUAGAUUCAUCCAAAAAUGUCCAGUGAAUCAGAGGCUCAAGUGUUAAACAGAAGCAACCCUGAGAGGCAUUCUGAGGAACAAAAUGCCCGGCUCUGCCACAAGUGGAGCAGUCAGCCAUUAUAGGCCAUGUGUAAACUAAAAUGGAAAGGGGAACAACUAUUUUGUUUAUUUAUUUAACACAUCUGUAUACAGCCCAAAACGCAAGUCUCUAACAGUAUACUAAACCUUGAAGGAGCACAUGAUGGACUAGACAUUGGAAGGGAGAAAGAAUUUUGCAGAGCAGUGAAGCGCCAGACACCUGACAUUUCCAAUCCUGCAGCCACAGCCAAAACUGAAAGCUGAGAUUCUGUUUGGUGCAGCUGCAUCAGUAGAGAAAUGACCAGCCAAAGAACUAAAUAGAAGCUCAGUGACUGGCACUUGGUGAAAGCUCUAUUUUCAAUCUCACCUUGUAAAACAUGUCCCCCUCCUCCAUCAGCUUGCUCAACAGGAUGACCAUGAUGUCUGGCUUGGAGGUGGCCAUCGCCCAAGUUGCUGGACCUGUAGUGUACAGGAUGCAUGAUGGGUAAAAAACUCAUACAAUGCAAAAGGUGGUAAGGGAGGAAAGCUAAGGUGGAAAAAUAUCCUGGGAGAGGAAAUUUCUGCUGGAGAGAACAACUUGGUACAGCCAAGCCAAGGUGCAACAUGGUCCCAAAGAAAGUGCUGGGCUUUCAUAAGCAUGUCUCAGAGUUAAAGGCACCUUUUCCACGCAGUCUUUCCUUUCGACUCAUCUGAAAUGACUCACAGCUGCUGGAGUCAUUUCCACAAGAGGACAAUAAAAUUCAUGGAUUGGCAUUGAUGGGAGAGACAGUUAUGUUCUGGGGAAAGUGAUUAAGGAGGAAACCAAAGAGUUUAGCAAACAAUGUAUUCUUAUCUAUAUAACUUUAAAUAGAGCCAUCUAUGUUGUACUACAGCAAUCUGGAUGUAUUUGGACUUGAGAAUUGCUUUACGACAUCUUCAUCUUCACUAACACAUGUAAGUUCAGAGUUUUAAAAAGCUGCCAUGUUUCAGAACGACUGUCACUUCACACAGGGCUUAUACCUGUGAAGUGUUUUGGAUGACCAACUGCAUUCCUUUUCUAAUGCAGCCCAGUCUGAGUCCAAUUCUAUAGCUGUAUUAUGCAGGUCUUUAAAAAACCCAUAAGUAUUAGUGGCCUCACUUAGCAAGUUAAUUGUCAAAUAGGGAAUUCUCAAACAGCCAGAAGGGCAUGGGGAAGCAUUUCAGCAGGCUUUGGGUGAAAAAUAAAUGAACUGUGUUUAAAAGUGAA